UGCCCUGCUGCUSGAGGUGCUGCCAAUCCUGGGGCCCCCCUCGUCCCUGGGCAGGAUCGUGCUGAGCCGGGACGAGCUGCUCCGCAAGAUCCUGGAGCUGCUGCAGCUGCUGCCCCCAACCCUGCUGGGGCUCCAGCCCUGCCAGCCCCCUGACUGUCACAGCCUGGRAAUCYUGGACAAGCUCAUCCUUGGGGGGCUGCUGGAGGAGGAGGAGGCAGACAGUGAGUGCCGGGGCUGUGACGUGGCCCCCCGGCCCUACUCGCAGGGACGUUCCUGGGGCUCCUUCACGGAUGACAGCGACAGUGACAGCGAGCACGGUGUCCCCAAGCAGUGC